CACUGACAUGCUGCAGAGGAUGCUCGGCAUUGCUGCUGGGGAGAGAGGCCAGUCCUGAUCCCUGCUGACAGCAGAGCCGUGAAACUACCUUUCUGACACCCAUUCACAGCCCUGAGAAGAAAGAGAUUGAACACUGGAAAUUCUGACUGUCUUCUGUGCUGUGUGACAGGGGGGAAAGAGGAAACUUCAAAUACCUGGCAGCUCUGAACAUCUAGGCAAGCCUUCCCUCUGUACCUCAGUAUUGCACCCACGUCUGCCAGGUGUCCUGAUGCACCUUCAGGUGCACCUCAAUGCACACCCAUUGCCCUGACCAGCCCCACCUGGAACCCCACCCACACUUUCACUAUUGACUCUAUUUAAGCUCAGCCCUGGGCUGGCUUAGGGUUGUGCAUCUUGUUCUGGCUUCUGGGUGGGUGUUGAUCAUGCAUCAACGGUUAUCUCUGGUCCUUUUUCUGACUGAUUUUGCUCCUGACUUGUCUCCCUGUAUAGACCUUGGACAUGGCUUAUCCUUCCCUGGGGCUCUUGAUGGAUCCUGGUAGCAGCACCUAGCUCUACCUGCUGUGUUUGGUGCCUGCAGGGUUACUCUCCGUCAGUGCAGGUGCCCCAUGAUACCAUCACCCUUGGCUCCUGGCUCAUCUACACUAAUUCUGCUCUUGCUUCUCCUUGACAAUGGCAUGACUUCUGCCCUGAUCACUCAUCUUGCUCCUGGACUUCGCUCCCGCAGGAACCUGGGCUGGCAGGAGCUGUCCUGGGGCACAGCAGGGAGCAAGGGAAGACAUUGCCUGUCUAAAGCUGCCUGGAGGUCACUGAAAGGUGAAACACGGAAGAGAAAGACAAGAGUAGAGAAAACGGGAAGGGGCCAGACCAGCAAGGGAUUAUGUACCUCCAGUUUUUGGACUUCAACAGGUCAGAGAUGCCUCCUGCAGACCUGGUCUUGCCUCCCAGUUGAGACUGUGAGAUGCACCAGUACAGUGUCCCCAUAGGCUGCCCCAUUGCUGGGGUGUGAGAAUCAGUCCUGGGAGUGGUGCUCUUAGAAAAGAGCUCAGCCUAGGACUGGGAACAAUGUGUACCCACACCCAUGGGACACCCAGGUCUGCCCUUGCUGUAUGCCCCGGUCCUGCUGGGCUUGAUUCCAGUGCAAUCCCUGGUAUGUUUUGUCCCUUGUUGAGCUCACAGCUUGUUUUAGCCCUUCCAUGGUAGCGCUAGAAGAGGGGAGGGAAUCGCUCCCCAUCUAUUUCUACAAGCCAGGGGAGAAGUAUUUCAUCUACCAGCAAGGCUGCUGGUGGAUUUGUGUCUCAGCAGCAUGGGCUGGCUGUGAAGACACUGAAACAUGUGAAGGUUCAUGCACCAGCACCAUUAGUAGUUUAGAUACUGAGGCAGUCAACCAGUGAUACUUGUCAGGGAUAUUGUGUCUGCACUGGCUGUGUGUCUGUAUUUAUCAGCCAGUUUCCUGGGGAGUGUGUGGGUAACACGGAGCCUUCUGAAAUGCUGCUGCAAGGGCUGGAUUAGCUCCUCCCAGGUAUGUUUACUGGGAUAGUUUGUGUGGAUCAAGUUAUCAGUGAUUAAAAUCAGACAGAAUCUGCCCAAAAAAAAAGGGUUUGAAUUCACAUCUCCAAGCCAGCACCUCAGCUACUGGGCCAGAUGAGAUGCAGCAGCUGGAUCAGCUCCACCAAGCUGGUGGUACUCAAGUUCCUCUGACACUGGCACCUCUGUCUCUUGUCAGCCCCUGCUGGGGUGUUUUCUCCAGCUGUUUCCCCCACACAGCCAGCAGCACAUGGCUCUGCUCUACUGCAGCCUGGCCCAACCGGUCCGAAUUAAGCAAUGAGCUUCUUUACAAAGAAAGAUACCAUAAGGAUGGGGAUUCAGGGAGAGAACAAAGGAGCUCCAAGGCAUCCUAGAGCUGCCAGGACUUGUAAUUGCUCAGCCUGGCACAAAUACCAGUUACCCUGAGCCUCCAAGCUGAUAUUUUUCAGCCCCAGCAAAGCGAGGACAAGUAUUCAUGUAUGGAUUCUUGUUCUAUAGCAAGGAAGAAUUUUCUGGAUGAAAGCUUUGAUUAGAUUUGUUUGGAUCAUGUUCACAUGCCUCCUGGGUUCACUUUCUGUGAAUAUUUUAAAUAACAGCUUUAUUGGCAGGAACAU